CAUCAGCCCAGAGCCCGACGCGGGGCUCGAACUCACAGACCGCGAGAUCGUGACCUGAGCUGAAGUCGGACGCCCAACUCACUGAGCCACCCAGGUGCCCCGCAGGGAAGCCAUUUAAAUAUGUCAAACCCAGUGCCCUCGUUAAACAAGCUCCCUCGCCCCUUCUGUUCAAGUGAGGACACAGCGAGAAAGACUACGAACCAGGAACGGGUUCUCACCAGACUGAAUCUGCGGGCACCUUGGUCUUGGAAGUCCCGGCCUCCAGCCCUGCGAGAAAUAAAUGCUUGUUUGUUUAAGCCACCCAGUCCACGGAUGUUUUAGUUACAGGAGCCUGGAUGCGCUAAGAGACCAGUGCGAUGAGAGAAGAUUCUCACGGCAGGAAAACGGUGCCUGCUGCCUUCUCACGUUGACACUGGAAUGUGAAUCUUCACCGUUGCUCCCUAGAAACGUUCGUGCACUUAUUCCUCAGGAUUGUUUUGUAAGUUAAAGAACAGCAACAGCAACAAUCCACCUGUUUGUCAUGAAAACAACAGCCCCAGAAAUACGUCUUUGCAGAUGUCAGUCACACUCUGAUCCUUGUAAGCAUCCCAGACGGAUUCAGGAAAUUAGAUAGCUGUCGUAUAAUGUCUUCUACUUUUCCCAAAAUGUCAUCUUCUACCAAAACGUUCAAGUCACAGACAUUUAUUCCUCUUCACAUGAAUGACGCUGAGUAUCUUAGCACGUGUUUAUACGCAUUUGUGUAUCCUUUUCUGCCAACUGUCCAGUCUUUGCCCACAUUCUCUGGCCUUAUUGGUCUCAUUGAUUUGAGCGUGCUAUUUGUAUUUUGCAUCAAUUAACCCUUCCUCUGUGAUGUGAAUUUCAAGUAUUCCCCAGUGUAUUUGCUUUUUGAUUAGCUUAUGUGGCUUUUUUUUUUUUUUGCUAUGAGAAAAUCUUUUUGUGUGUUUUGUUUUACAUAUAAUCCAAUUAUUUCUAUCAAAUAUAUUUUUAUACAUAAGUAUUUUAUAAGCAUAAUGGAAUUGAGAUGACAUUUCUAUAAUACGCUAACUUUCUAAAUUUUCUGGACUCUCUGCUCUCCCCCACUGAUAUGUCUGCCUAUUCAUUCACCAUUAACAUACUGUUUAAAUUA